rnacentral:rRNA from 1 species
GACAGAGGAGCCAAGCGUUGUCCGGAUUGACUGGGCGUAAAGCGCACGCAGGCGGCUGCGCGCGUGGGGUGUGAAAUCUGGCCGCUUAACGGCCAGGCGCCAUCCCAUACGGCGCGUCUGGAGUGAUGCAGAGGUCGAUGGAAUUGCCGGUGUAGUGGUGAAAUGCGUAGAGAUCGGCAGGAACACCCAGGGGGAAACCAGUCGACUGGGCAUCUACUGACGCUGAGGUGCGAGAGCGUGGGGAGCGAACCGG